rnacentral:rRNA from 1 species
UACGUAGGGACCAAGCGUUGUUCGGAUUUACUGGGCGUAAAGGGCGCGUAGGCGGCGCGGUAAGUCACUUGUGAAAUCUCUGAGCUUAACUCAGAACGGCCAAAUGAUACUGCAGUGCUAGAGUGUGGAAGGGGCAAUCGGAAUUCCAGGUGUAGCGGUGAAAUGCGUAGAUAUCUGGAGGAAUACCGGUGGCGAAGGCGGCAUCCUGGACCGACAUUGACGCUGAGGAGCGAAAGCUAGGGGAGCAAACGGG